CCUUGGAAACGGGUGGUAAUGCUGGAUGCUCCAACUUGACGCAUGUCUUGUUGGGAAAGUGUUUAGUGGCAUGGGAUGGGGUCGCGUCCUAUCAGCUUGUAGGCGGGGUAAUGGCCCACCUAGGCUUCGACGGGUAGCCGGCCUGAGAGGGCGGACGGCCACAUUGGGACUGAGAUACGGCCCAGACUCCUACGGGAGGCAGCAGCC
rnacentral:rRNA from 1 species